rnacentral:rRNA from 1 species
UAUCUCUGUAGAGUCUGCAUAUCAAUAAGCGGAGGAAAAGAAACUAACUAGGAUUCCCUCAGUAACGGCGAGUGAAGCGGGAAGAGCUCAAAUUUGAAAUCUUCAAGGUUCUACCUUGACGAAUUGUAGUUUAAAGAAGUGUUUUCUGUUGGAGUUUUGGUAAAAGUUCUUUGGAAUAGGACAUCAUAGAGGGUGAGAAUCCCGUAUUUGACCAUUAUUUCCAGCUUUGUGAUACACUUUCAAAGAGUCGGAUUGUUUGGGAAUGCAGUCCAAAAUGGGUGGUAAAUUUCAUCUAAAGCUAAAUACUGGCGAGAGACCGAUAGCGAACAAGUACCGUGAGGGAAAGAUGAAAAGAACUUUGAAAAGAGAGUUAAACAGUACGUGAAAUUGUCAAAAGGGAAGCGUUUGACACCAGUGUUGUUUUCUCGAAAAUCAAUUAAAAAGGGCAGGAUUUUGUGUUGUAUUGACUUUAUCAGCUUUCUGCACUCUUUUCUUGUCUUUUUUUAAUGCACUUUUCGUUUAACAAGUCAACAUCAAUUUCUUUUGUUGUAAAAGGGUCAUUGGAAGGUGGCUUUCUUUUCGGAGAAAGUGUUUAUAGCCUUUGGCCUCUGCAAUCGGAGAGAUUGAGGUCUGCAGCGUAGAUCCUUCGGGGUUAGAUACAUUUGUGCUAAGUUAUAGCCUUUCAUAGACAACUUGUUGACUAUGAUCAGUCAUGUAGCUUACUCGCUUAUGCUAUUUUACCUACGCUUAGGAUGUUGAUAGUCACAGCGUGUAC